AGUCGAACGAGGUCCAUUCAGUAGCAAUACUGAUGAAGGCCGAGUGGCGAACGGGUGAGUAACACGUGAGGAACCUAUCCUGGUCUCUGGGAUAACAGUCGGAAACAACUGCUAAUACCGGAUGCCGUCGGAGCGCUGCAUGGCGCACUGACGAAAGGGUUACUGGAUCAGGAGGGUCUCGCGGCCUAUCAGCUUGUUGGUGGGGUAACGGCCUACCAAGGCAUCGACGGGUAGCUGGUCUGAGAGGAUGAUCAGCCACACUGGGACUGAGACACGGCCCAGACUCCUACGGGAGGCAGCAGUGGGGAAUCUUGCGCAAUGGGCGAAAGCCUGACGCAGCAACGCCGCGUGCGGGAAGAAGGCCUUCGGGUUGUAAACCGCUUUCAGAAGGAACGAAACUGACGGUACUUUCAGAAGAAGGUGCGGCCAACUACGUGCCAGCAGCCGCGGUGACACGUAGGCACCAAGCGUUGUCCGGAUUUAUUGGGCGUAAAGAGCUCGUAGGCGGUUCGAUAAGUCGGGUGUGAAAACUUUGGGCUCAACCCAAAGCGUGCAUUCGAUACUGUUGUGACUAGAGUUCGGUAGGGGAGUGGGGGAAUUCCUAGUGUAGCGGUGAAAUGCGCAGAUAUUAGGAGGAACACCGGGUGGCGAAGGCGCCACUCUGGGCCGAAACUGACGCUGAGGAGCGAAAGCGUGGGUAGCAAACAGGAUUAGAUACCCUGGUAGUCCACGCCGUAAACGUUGGGCACUAGGUGUGGGUUCCAACCAACGGAAUCCGCGCCGUCGCAAACGCAUUAAGUGCCCCGCCUGGGGAGUACGGCCGCAAGGUUAAAACUCAAAGGAAUUGACGGGGGCCCGCACAAGCAGCGGAGCGUGUUGCUUAAUUCGAUGCAACGCGAAGAACCUUACCUGGGCUUGACAUGUACGGAAAAGCC
rnacentral:rRNA from 1 species